rnacentral:lncRNA from 1 species
AACUCAUUUGGGAUAUGGAGGAGAAUAUGCCACCAGUUCUCCAAAGUGGAGGGGUUUCCGUUCAGCUCUUCAUUCUACCCUUCAACUCCUAUGCAGCCAACCAUCAUACCAGUUGAUUCUAAGUGCUGGGAGCCUCUGUCUACACUUACUCUCCACCUCGCUCAGGCUCCAUAGGCAUGGUGUCUACCUGCUGGCCCAUCCUGGGAAGUCAUCCCAACGUGACAGAAUGGAAAAGAGAGGGCAUGGAAGACUAGUUCAUAGGUAAGGGCAAGAGGGACCUCGCAGAUGGUAAGGUGCUCUGUGGAGAAUCAGUUUGUCCAACUGAUAAACAGAAAACAGUACAAAGAAAUGUGCUAUCACAGAACGAUCUUAAGCACUGGAACCAGUCAGUCCCAGAUUCAAAUCCAGCUCUACCCUUCUCUAGGGAUGGUUUUCUUAUUCUCCAUCUCCUCCCCCUUAAAAUGGGGAUGAUAAUACCUCCUCAUGAGAGGCUGUGAGUAGCUGAUGGGAUAAUUUGUGUAAAUUGGCUAAUAAAGUAUCUGGUAAACAGUAGGGUCCCAAUACAGGAAGCUUGAGAUGGUAUUAAAUCACUGGUCAGGCAAUAGAUGCUCGAGACAGUAUGACAGCCACUAGCCACAUGUGGUUAUUUAAUUUAAAAUUCACUUCCUCAGUUGCACUAGCCACAGGCCAAAUGCGCAAUAGCCACAUGUGGCUAGUGGCUACCAUGGCGGAAAGCAUAGAUAUGGAACAUUUCCAACACCACAGAAAUAGCACUGCUAUUAGCACACCACAGGAUAGCACUGCUCUGGGGUUCUGAAUAAGAGAUACUCCCUGGGUCCAGCAGCACGGAUACUGGUCUGGAACUGCUCCCCUGACCAUAUCAGAGGUAUGUGCCUGUGACUGAAUCAGCUGGUGCUUCACUAGAGACUGUGUCAGACUAUAUGGGCUCCCAAUUCUUUCCUUUGCCUCCCAUUCAGUGCUCACCAGUACUAGAGUGGAUCUUGAUGCUGAUCACCACAAACCCAGGCCUCCCAGCAGAUUCUUUUUUUUUUUUUUUUUUUUUUUUUUGAGAUGAAGUCUCGGUCUGUCACCCAGGCUGGAGUACAGUAGUGGUGUGAUCUCGGCUCACUGCAACCUCUGCCUCCCAGGUUCAAGCUAUUCUUCUGCCUCAGCCUCCUGAGUAUCUGGGAUUACAGGCAUGUGCCACCACACUUGGCUAAUUUUUGUAUUAUUAAUAGAGACAUGGUUUUGCCACAUUGGCCAGGCUGGUCUCGAACUCCUGACCUCAAGUGAUCUGCCCGCCUUAGCCUCCCAAAGUGCUGGGAUUACAGGCGCGAGCCACUACACCUGGCCACAGAUUUUUUAGACCCCUCCUACAGCCAGACUUCUCCCACCAUCUAACUAACCCCUCUCCCUUACCUCCCUGCUCACAAUGCUUAUCCCUCUCCAGCAAAGAGUCUCUGCUCUGGAAGACAUUAUCUCUUCCUGUUCCCUCUACAAUACCUAACCAUCCUAUUCCUUUCUAUGCAUUUGCGUAUUUUCGUUAUUCACAUUGCAGAUGCAUUCCUCAUUUUUCUCUUCCAGCCACACUAUGCUCAGCUUUCCAUUCCAGCUCAAAUUUUUCUUCCCAAAAGCUCUUCCUUGUAAGCCCCGUUCCUGGUGAGUUCCUGGUCCAAGGGGACUGUUCUCCUCAGUUCAUUUACAGCCGUCACUGAAUUGCUCUGCUAAUACUUUAAAGCGUGUUCAGCUUUCCUCACCUGGCUGGGUACCUGCUGAGGAAGAUGUCCCUUCAAUGUUUGGUUGGAGUCUUUUGAAGCAGAACAGACCUAAGACAAAGCUGUGAAAGAGGGCCCCAAAUUAUACCCAGUAUCUCCUCCUUUUACCACUCAUUCUUCCAGAGUUCUCUCCUACCAUAUGUGCCCACCCAGAAUUUGUCCUUGCAAGGACCCUUCAACGCUCACAGCACAGUCUCAUCUUAGCCUGUUCUCUCAGGAUGCAGGUGCUUACUAGCUGGAAAACCAGUUGAUGCUACUGGGUGUGGACUGGUUUAAACCAGCGGUUCUCAACCCUGGGGCUACACACUGGAAUUCCCUGGGGGUUUUGAAAAAAAUGUGAAUGUACAGAUGUCCCCUAGACCAGCUGAAUCAGGAUCUCCAGGGUGAGGCUGUGGCUACUAUCUGUCUUCCUUUCCCAAGGUAAUGCCAAUAAACUAUUUGCCCAAGCUGGGAAGAGACCAGGGCAGCCACAUGACAGAGUAGUUAAGAGAGAGGUUCUGGAGCAACAUUGUCAGUUCAAUUGCUAGCUCUACCUGUGUCUGUGUGGUCCUGGGCCAGCCUCUGAACUUACCUGUUCCCUCCUCUGUAUGUGGGAAUAAUAUUCAUCAUAGUACCUCCCCAUGGGGCUUCCAGGAACAUCAGUUGAAUUAAUACCCAUCAAGUACUUAACACCACAGUGUGGGCAUAUAGAAAGUGCUCAACAAAGGUUUGCUAUUUUUUUCUUUCUUUUUGAAACAGAGACAGGGUCUUGCUCUGCUUAUCCAGGCAGGAAUGCAAUGGCAUGAACAUAGCUCACUGCAACCUCGAAAUCCUGGGCUCAAGUGAUCCUCCCACCUCAGCCUACUGAGUAACUGGGACUAUAUGCGCGUGGCAUCAUGCUCAGCCAAUUUUUUAAAAUUUUUAGAGGCAGGGUCUUGCUAUGUUGCCCAAGCUGGUCUCGAACUCCUGGAUUUGAACGACCCUCUCAUGUCAGCCUCCCAAAGUGCUGGUAUUACAGGUGUGAGUCGCCAUGCCUAGCCAAGGUUUGCUACUAUUAUUCCUUCUCUCCAACCUUCUCCCUGUAUUCUUUCUGAACUCCCUUUCCCUAUCAAAGCCCCAUUUCAGGCCUGGUGUGGGGAAAUGCAGCACCAGGUGAGCAUGUGUUGGUGGGGAGGAUUUGGGGAGACACAUCCCCACUGCUUACUCUACCUGUGCUGGGAACUGCACAAAGAAUGGGGGUGAAGUGGGUGAGAGGCCAGUUGGGAACCCAAAAGCUGUCCUCUACAAUUCUUUUUGAAGGCUAGGGAGAUCCCACUCCUACUUCAGGCCAUGCAUUGGAACCAAAGUUGAGGUGGGGGAGAGUGGUGGCUGCACAGAUACCAUAGACAAGCCAAGACCUCCCUGCCUCGCCCUGUCCUGGCAUGAAGGCACAGGUCUGUAACUACAGCAGCUUUUCCCAGUACCAUCUGACAUUUCUUCUGAAUUUGCUUUAGCGCCUAGCAGAGCACUCCAUAAACUCUCCUAAAGUAGGUAGGAAGGGUAGGAUGGGGUAUGGGAUAUGAGGGUCAGAGGGUCAGACCAGAAAGGGUGGAUUAUUAUAAAACAAGUAGUCCUAAGAUUCUGAGGAUGGGCAGGUGUACCCUAAAAGGGAAGCAGUGGGAUUCCCAAGUAAAUACUUCAUCUACUUCACAAGUUUGCCCAAGCCCAGCUCAGGAACAGUAACAAAUGGAAAUGAGCAGGGAUGCCGGCUGUGGACAAGCAGACCCCCUAGGUAGAGUCCACCCCACCUUCCCAUUACCACAGGAAUUAUUACCUUACCACCCAUAGGGGAGGGGGUAAUUGUGGGCAAAUUUGAUGGGCCCAGUGGGACAGUCAGAAACAGCCUGCCUAGAGCCCUAAUGUACCCACCCACAUAGCUGUGACAUCCUCAGCCCAGCCAGGCUAGCCCAGGAUAUAUGGUGUGUGUAGCGCACUCUGCUAUUUUCCUCUCCUUGAAUGUCCUUGAGGACCCAGUUCAGGUGCCUCUGCUGGGACACUCCCUGUGACACUACCAGCCUUCUCUGAUCUACUCUUUCUCUUGACUCCUAAGACUUACUGUCAGGCUCUCUGGUCACCUGAUCAAUCCCAGGCUUGUGAUACCUCAUAUGCUACCUUGUACCAUUAUUUAACUUUUAGUUCAUGUGUAUAAUUUUCCUACUGAAGCAGUAGGAGCUUGAGGCCAUGGCUCCUAAAGCUUUGAAACCCAUGCAGCAACUGAAAUAGAGCUCAGCAUUCAUUCAUUCACUCACUCACUCAAUAGUUAUUGAGCACCUCCAACAUGCGAAGCACCGUGCUAGGUGCUGGGGAUUUGGCAGUGAACCAGAGAUGAAUUCUACAUUGAAGCCACUUAGUAAAUAUUUGUUAAACAGAUAGACGAGUGGAUGGAGACAUGGAUGCAUUAGUAGUGAGUGGAUAAUGUCUCUAUCUGUGGCAUCCCUUCUGCUCUAUGUUACCUCAGAGAAAAAUCUCACUUCUUUACUCUCCGUGAUCCCACAACUGUUCUGGAUGGGGGAAGUCCCAGGAAGUUUAGUCUCAAGUGGAGAGUAGGGAGAGAGGAAACUAAAUUCAGAGGGGUAGUACCCACUUAAAGGCAUCCAUAUGAUGAGUGCUGGGGCCAGAAGAGACUGGAACCAAUGAGUCAUAGGGUCUCAGGGUCUUCAGACAUCAUAUGGGGCUGCUACAGGGAUCUUUUCAGAGCAUCCCCUUCAACAGAUGUUCCUCAGCCUCCAUGCUAACUCUCAAUGAUGGGGCACCUGACACAGGCAUUCCACUGCUUGCCCCUGGUGAUUUCCCUCAUUCUCACCUCUAAGUAACAUCCAAAAUAAAACCAGCCCAGCCUUGGGCCAUGAUAUCCUAACCCACAGCAUGUGCACAUGUACCCACAUCUGCAUAUCUGCUCUACCUCCAGAUCAAAAUAGCAACCAGGGAGAUUGGCAGAGCCUGGAGUACCAGGCUGUCUUCCCAGUUUGGGACUGGCUGAGGCACUGUGACUUCAGUGAGAGUCUGGGCCCAUCCUCAGUCUAGAAAAAGCUUAUGCAAGGAUGAGGGUAGCCUAGAGAAAGUCCAGAAAACCACACAAAUGACCACCUGUUGAUUCCAAGGCGGAGACAGAGCACUUUCUCCUUUUAAAAACAGUAUCCUCUCCUCUCACUCAAGCUUAGCCUGCUCAACUGAACAGCCAGGAAAAGCUGCUGGUGUUUGGUGAUUUGAAGGGAAGGGGGUCUGAACCUCAGAAGCUUGUCACUUACUGGGGACCCUGAUGAGUUUCUCUCUGUUGUCCUGCCUUAUCCCUAAUCUAGCUCCCUGAUCAUUUGAAUGUAACCCUAAUUGGACAAGAAUUUUCUCCCUUUCAGUAUGGACAAAAUCAACAACCAUGAAUCAGAGACUUUUAGAGGAUGGGUAGUGAAGUGGGGGAAGAACAGAACAUUGUAGAGUGAGGGGCAGAGAGGCAGGCAGUGGGCAUGGGUAGGUUCUGGUUUUGUGAUUAGUAAUAUUAUCUCUUUAAUUGAAAAAAAUAAACUCAUUUCAGAUUCGUAUAAUUUCACUAAGUGUACAGUUUUUUCAUGCAGGUUGGUUCACGUGGUCUUCAAACUGUCCUCUCUCAUCUGGGGCCCAGUGAGGAUACCUCAGGAAAGAGCAAGUAGCUAGUGUAAAGCCAGGAUCCAGGUCUUCAAACUCCCAGUCCAGUGCUCUCUAACUACCCACUGUGUUCUCUAAGCACUUGAGGGAGGAAUCCAUGCCUUAGUCAUUAUUGUACCUCCCCCAACUCCACCUCAGCACUUAGUUCAGCAUGAAGCAUGCAUCCAGUAUAUAACCGUGGAGCGGAAGGAGCUGAAAUGUACAUGAUCCAGGGAGGAAAUCAGCAGUGGGAAUGCAGAUGCUCUGAGGCUUUGGGCAUGGGAGCAGCAGAAGAGAGCAAGGCUGAGUAGUGGGCAGGGAGGGUACAGACACAGUUGCAAUAAGGAAAGGGUGGGCAAUGCAACAGUGGGCAGGUGUUGCCUGCCCUUGGAUUCACUAUGCUGGGGCCAAGCAGCUGGUUAGAAACAAAAACAAACACCAGGGAUACAGGUUCCUGCUGUUAACAGCUUCAAACCGCCAGAGGAAAACUCCAAAUAAAUAUAAUUAGAAACUUGUAAAAACGUCCUCUCUGUAAACCUGCUCCCCAGGGUCUACCCUUCAAGCACUCCCCUUCCCCAGCCCUCCCCCCAAUGCCCACAUAUCCUGAUACUCCCCACUUUCAGAGGGAUUCCUUAGAUGUGUUUCCUUAUCCUGGAUCUUCCCUCCAGCCCUGCAGCCCCUGCCCAGGUCUUUCCUCAGCUUGUUACCACCAGUGACCAGACCUGAAGAGCCCCUGGUGUAGGCUCAGAAAUCCAAACCCCACAGCUCUCUAGGGCUAUGGUUAUAACCACAGGGAAAACCAGAGGUAAGAGCAAGGACCACUGUGCCCUAUAUAGGGGUCAUCAUCCCAUUUGUUCAGCCAAAGCACAGCAUCUAACAGCAACUACAAAGCAGUGCUUGAUCUGCAGGGGGACAUGUCUAGGCUAGGGCAGAAUACAGACAGCUAGUCUCAGAGCUAGAAACACGGAAUCCUGGGGCCCAGAUCCAAGAAUAUUCAGUUCCCAUAACACGGAUAUUUCAGCUCCACUUCCCAACUUUGUUGGAUACACACAUAUAGAAACACACAUGUGUUCUUCAGGGGCUAUUUCCAGGGAUAAAUACCCACUUCAUGGACACAGUAAGAACUAUCAGCUACUUGGGGUUCCAGGAAACUGGGGUGGGGGAAGAAAGGAAGAGUAUCCAGAUGACCUAGCCUCAGGCAGGCAGAAGUGGACCAGCAUCCAAGGAGGAGAGCGCCUGAGAUUUGGGUGAGUAACCUGUGGAGGCCCGGCGCCUUCUGCCUUCAGCAGGAAGGAUUUCAGUGAGAUGUGCAGAAUCUCAGGGCUGCAGGGAACCCUACUGAUAUUUUACAAGUGAGAAGAGGGAUUUCAGUGAUUUCCUCCGAGGCUCAAAUCCUUAGGCUCUGCAUUUGUCUAAACCCACUGGCACCAUAUACCUCUAUAUCCCCGGUGCCACUUGAGGCUGGCAUUGGGUGGGCAUAGGAACAGGAGAGUAGCCAGUCCAAUGUUAAGUGGCCAGUGGGGGAGGGGAGUCUCUGUCCCCUCUUAGCCCAGGUGACUAGCUCCUGUACCCCCUAGACAUCCCUGGGUUGGCCGUUGUUUCGCUUCUAUACCCAAGGCCCAGCAGUCCUUCUGUUUCCAGACUCCAGUCUUCUGAGCCUGAAGAAGCUGUCCCCAGGUCUGGGCCUCUUGCAGGCACUGCCAGCCUCAGAGCAGCUCUGCAGUUUCCAGCCCUGACAGGGACUCUUUCUUAUAAGUGGUCAUGUGCUAGGGAUACGGGAUGUCAAAGGAGGCCCACACCCUGACAUUUGGGGACCAGAGCUGGGGGAAAGGACUGAGUGAGUUCAGGCAGCAAGCUCUUCCAGCUCCAUCUUCUCAAAAGGUCUGAAGCCCUUCGUUCCCUUCCCCUGUCCUCAGUUCAAGGCACUGGACCAAGCCAUUCCACUUCUUUACUUCUCCAACUAAAACAAAAUGCAUAUUGCCCCACUUCCUUUUUCCUCUCACCAGAGCACUUCACACACACACACACCCUGAGUCAUGCACACACAUUCACACGUGUGUGAAUGCACACUUCACAUUCCCAAACUCACACCCAGGGCCGGCUCCUCUUACAACAGGUCCCAGCUGCUCACAUCUCAAACCGGUUCUCAUGCUCUCAGAUUCCUGAAGGUUUCAAAAAACAAUCUCAUUUGAGGGCUGCUGAUGACUGUCUUCUUUCUCUGCCU